UGAGACAAGUGCAUACCAGCCCAGCAGCACAGAGAUGAGCACCUUGCCUAAAAUGAUUCACUGUGAAAAGUUCAAAAUGAAGAAUAAAGAGGCAGAGAAUCUUCUAGAAUUGUGUUCCCAUCAGCAUGUUGAGAUGGAAAGCAGGUGUGAAAGUAAAGAGCUUGAUGUUGAAAUAAGGAACCUGAUAGAGAGGAGUGGUGUUUCCAAGUCGUGUGAGGACUCUGAACUUAUUGCCCAAGGGAGUCUGAACCACCAGAGGACUUCAUGUUCCCCUAAGAUCUGCUGUGAGACGAAUGCUCAAGGCCGUCUUGGAAGCACAUGGGCAGACAUGAGUGAGAUGGAAGCUCCAGGAGACCUGCCAGAAUCAAAGCAAGGAUUACCAAACAAACAGAAGACUCUAUUAGCCAACUCUCAGGAACGACAUAUCCUCUCACUGGAAAGACAGAGACAAGAGCUUCUGGAGGUGAACAAGCAAUGGGAUCAUCAAUUUAGAACCAUGAAACAGCUUUAUGAAAAACAGCUGGCAGAAGUGAAAGCAAAACUGCACGUGUCAGAGAAGAGAGUCAGUGAGCUGGAGGAAGAAAGACAUCGACAUCCUCCAGAGAAGGAGAGAUUGCAGAUCCUGGACAGAGACACACCAUCACAGGAAAUGAAAGAAACAAAGGUCCUCAGUGAAGCCCUGCAUGAAAUGAAGGAAGAAAACAAGCUCCUGAAGCAGAAGAAUGCAUCAAUGAUAAGAAAACAAGAGCACUAUGAGUGUGAAAUAAGUCGUCUCAACAAGGCCCUUCUGGAUGUGUUGAAAAAGAACUCGUCUGUUCUUAGGACUCCUUCAGAGACUGGUGACAAGAACAGCUUUGGUGACAUGAGAACCCAACUUGAAGUUCUCAGACAACAGGUACAAAUAUAUGAAGAGGACUUCAGAAAGGAGAGAUCUGACAGAGAAAGACUUAAUGAGGAGAAAGAAGCAUUGCAGAAGGCUAAUGAGAGAUUACAGACUCAACUGAAUAAACUAAACUCACAGAUGAAGACCUGUCUGAAAGGAAAGGAACCACAAGAAAGGCAGUUACAGCAGCAGACAAAAGAUAUUCCGGUACAGUCCGAGAGGCUCACCUACCCACCUCCGCUAUUUCUCUCCCCGUGUGUUAAUUAUGGGAGUUGUGGGUUGCUUCUUCACUAUCAAGAUCCUCGAGUCCACCGAGUGUCUCGCAGAGCACAAGAACAGCAGCAGCACUCGCCAGACUAUCAGUGGUAUGUUCCUGACCAGUUUCCUCCAGAUGUUCAGCACAAGGCAAAGGGGCAAACACCAAAUCAACUUUGGAAGAACAAUUUGCCCCAUAUUUUCAGUCUUCAUGUGGAAGUCAGCACUUUGAUACACUCAAAGAACAAGCUCCAAAAGCAGAACACCUCACCAUAAAGGCAAGCCUGCUGCUGUCGAAUGACCCCCGUGAGUUGCAGCUCUGCAUUACAAGGCUGCAGAAAGGCUUAUUGUGCCUUUUGGCAUUGCUCAUAUGCUGCCAGGUGAUGGCUGUUGGACAUCUAUUUCUUCCUUAGACGCCUUUACUGAGCCAGAGUGGGGUGUUUCAGCAGGACGGAGAAGGUCAGUGCCCCUUUAGCAGAAUUAGCUCGAAGAAAUCUCAGUAUGCAAGAUCAGAGAAUCGACUCAUGCCCUCAUCCAGGUGAGAUCUACCCCGUAAACCUGAUUUUAAAGACUCAAGUCUGCUGCUCAUGUCAGAGCCUCUUUAAUCUCCACCCUGACUCCUCAGCUAACAGAGCUAUGGGGCUUUCUGAGGGAUGGUGGCAAGCCACAAAGAAUAAAAACAGGACAUUUGGACAGACAAUGUUGUCAGUGCUGUACAACGUUGGCAUUUAGAUAAUGUUUUUCCUUGCUAGUACAGUCUGCAUGAUCUGAACUUUGGAAUGUUAGCCAUGUGAUGAACUGCUGUCUGAGUGGUUAUACUGCAGACUAUGCAGAUAUUUUGCUGAUGUUACCAUAAGUGUGCUGUUUCAUAUUUCUCAUUUUUAGUAGGAGCAAUUGUCUUUCAGAAAGUUGUUUGAUAAAGCCAUAACAGGUAGAAAUGUAGUUGAGAGUGACCAGCUUGGAUUUCCUUUAUGAUCAUACUCACAUAUCUCUGAAAGAAUGUUCCACCUUUAUUCACUACUUUGGAAAAUACCUCUAAGAUUAUCCAGUCUAACUGUCCACCCAAGCUCACCAUGCCUUCUAUCCACAUCCGUCAGUACCCCAUCUUCAUGUUUUUUGAACACCUUCAGGGACAGUAACUCCACCACCUUCUGGGGUUGCCCAUUCCAAUGCAAUGUACUUUUAUUGGAGAAGAAUUUUUCCCCAGUAUCUGACCUGAACAUCCCCUAGCAUAAUAUAUGACCGUUACCUCUUGUUCUACUUUGCCUUAAUAAGAAUAUCAAAAUAUGGUCAAUGGUGUACAGUCAUCCAACUUGGUGCUGCGGUAGGGUCAGCUAUGGCUCUGCCCUCUCUGCCUAUAUGCUCUGUCUAAUGCACCACAUAAAGUUUGGAGUAAUGGUUUCCUCUUCAAGGAAAUGCAUUUGCCACAGGGAUCACUGUUCCAAUGUUUGGAUUCUGAUCAUCCCCAGAAAGCUGAGAA